rnacentral:rRNA from 1 species
UACGGGGGGGGUAAGCGUUGUUCGGAAUUACUGGGCGUAAAGGGCUCGUAGGCGGCCAACUAAGUCAUACGUGAAAUCCCCAAGCUUAACUUGGGAACUGCGUCGGAUACUGGAUGGCUUGAAUUCGGGAGAGGGAUGCAGAAUUCCAGGUGUAGCGGUGAAAUGCGUAGAUAUCUGGAGGAACACCAACGGCGAAGGCAGCUCGCUGGGACGGUACUGACGCUGAGACGCGAAAGCGUGGGGAGCGAACAGG